GACGUAGGGCGCGAGCGUUGUCCGGAUUUAUUGGGCGUAAAGAGCUCGUAGGCGGCUUGUCGCGUCGGCUGUGAAAACUCGGGGCUUAACCCCGAGCCUGCAGUGGAUACGGGCAGACUAGAGGUAGGUAGGGGAGAAUGGAAUUCCCGGUGUAGCGGUGAAAUGCGCAGAUAUCGGGAGGAACACCGGUGGCGAAGGCGGUUCUCUGGGCCUUACCUGACGCUGAGGAGCGAAAGCGUGGGGAGCGAACAGG
rnacentral:rRNA from 1 species